AGAUGCUUUGGUGCCUUCGGGAACUCUGAGACAGGUGCUGCAUGGCUGUCGUCAGCUCGUGUUGUGAAAUGUUGGGUUAAGUCCCGCAACGAGCGCAACCCUUAUCCUUUGUUGCCAGCGNUNCGGNCGGGAACUCAAAGGAGACUGCCAGUGAUAAACUGGAGGAAGGUGGGGAUGACGUCAAGUCAUCAUGGCCCUUACGAGUAGGGCUACACACGUGCUACAAUGGCAUAUACAAAGAGAAGCGACCUCGCGAGAGCAAGCGGACCUCAUAAAGUAUGUCGUAGUCCGGAUUGGAGUCUGCAACUCGACUCCAUGAAGUCGGAAUCGCUAGUAAUCGUAGAUCAGAAUGCUACGGUGAAUACGUUCCCGGGCCUUGUACACACCGA
rnacentral:rRNA from 1 species